GGUGUGCUCGAUUUUAUACACCUGUCAGCAACAGCAAUAGCCAAAUCUACUAAUUUGAAGGAGUGUCCACAUACACUAUAUAUACAAAAGUAUCUCUCAGAUAUAGGAGAGGCUCUUCAGAAAAAACUUCCUGCUGAUAUUUGGGGGGGAUUAUCUGUUCCAUGUGGUGAAUCUGUAAUGCAAUGUGUUUAGCAGUAAGACAAACUGCUUCAAAAUCAAAUAGCUUAUUGGUCCUCAGUAUGACCUUCUUAAAACAAUUCCAUAUAGCUUAGUAGACCCCCCCCCCCCAGACUCUGAUGGGUUAAUUGAGAAGGCUUUGGGGAAAGUAUUUAUAAUCAACACACAAGACGGUUAUCACAUCAACUGACCACACACGGAGUGAUAGACAUACGCAAGCACCACGCAGACAGACGGGCAAUAUUGCUGGAAAUUAAUUGCCAGAUAUUGUUAGAUUUGUCUUUUUAAGCCAAUAGUGGAUAACUAGGGGUGUGAUAAUGUCAAUGUUCCAUUGACUAGAUUGUAGCUGGGAAUUUGCACUGUCUGAUAUGUGAUAUUUGUUUGACAGUUUUCGGUGGAGUGCGAUUGAGAUUGUGUCAUCUCUGGGUCUAUUGUGGUGAUAUGUGAAUUGGAGUGGAUCUAGGGCAGGGGUCUCCAACAGGUCGAUUGCGAGUAGCUCGCAGCCCAACUAUGAGUAGCUUGCACUUCACUUGAAAAUUGCAUGCACUUUCAGAAUUGUUUGGCACUGUCAACUGUGGGACCUUAUAUAGACAGUUGUGUGCCUUUCCAAAUCAUGUCCAAUGAAUUGAAUUUACCACAGGUGGACUACAAUCAAGUUGUAGAAACAUUUCAAGGAUGAUCAAUGGAAACAGGAAGUACCUGAGCUCAAUUUCAAGUCUCAUAUCAAAGGGUCUGAAUACUUAUGGAGGCAGUGAUGAUAGAAGAAACACUGCAAGCUACUGGAGGCUAUCAGCUCGCUUGGGGGGGAAGAAAAGGAAGAAGCUUACUGAACGGUCUGAAGAAAGCAUUCAGGUGUCAGAAUUCACAGUCAAAGGUGAAUUAGACAAAAUCAAUUUGACCUCAUUGGAACCUUGGGUAAGACCCCCAGUGCCUUAAUGAAGACGGAGAAGCAGCUGAAGAACCUUCAACACAACCAGAGCACCCUGGAAACACCCCUGACCAGGAAGUAGACAGAACGGAUCCAAAGAGAAGUGGCUUUUGAGAAAACGUCAAGAGGUGUCCCGCUGGCAGAGUGUGGUCCUGCAGAACCAGAAGGCAGAACAGCUGGUCUUCCCACUGAACCAGCAGCCCUCUGGCCCAAAACGCAUAGAGCAGGUGGUGGCUGGAUGGAAGGCCCAAACUUUCCUAGAACAAGCAGCCUCUCCAUGACCCUGUUCUGACACCCACUGAGGAGGCCUCUCUGAGGGCCAUAAGUCUGGAGGAAGUGGGUCCCACCUCAAGCAUCCAGCAUGGGGUCAUAUGCAUAAGAUAAGCUAAAUCUAGUGUGUUAGUGCUGGGUAAGUGCAAAGACCUGCACACACUACUGCCCUUGACUUAAUUUUGUAUGUGCACUAAAAGGACAAUGUACUGGAAAAACAACAACGCACAAAAGUUUUUCUAGAUGGUUAUUGAUGGUCUCACUUAUCUACAACCAAUAUAUAAAACUAUAUUUUUUUUGUCAGGCUAAGAUCCGUCGUGCAGAUCUCCAAAAAGCCAGAACUCUAUAGUCUUAUUAUGAAGUGAAAGUCAAAAGGGAAAUAAAAAUAAAAAGCCGGGGCAUAUCCUUCCAAUAUACUGUACAGUUGACCGGGGCAUAUCCUUCCAAUAUACUGUACAGUUGACCGGGGCAUAUCCUUCCAAUAUACUGUACAGUUGACCGGGGCAUAUCCUUCCAAUAUACUGUACAGUUGACCGGGGCAUAUCCUUCCAAUAUACUGUACAGUUGACUGGGGCACAUCCUUCCAAUAUAGUGUACAGUUGACCAGGGCAUGAGUGACUCAGCAGUAAUCCGCUUCAAAAGAUCAUCUCUUUAUUCAAGGCUCCCAAUUCACUCUCUUCCUCCACCUGCCCUCUUUGUACAUAGUGCCGGAUUAUUAUUUUAACCCCCUUUUCUCCCCAAUUUCGUGAUUACAAUCUUGUCUCAUCGCUGCAGCUCCUCAGCGACCAAACUACAGAGGCAUGCUUUUGGCGGCCCGAUCAGCAGCCAGCACUAAUGCUUUAGGAAGUUGGCAACUUGUCCUACAGAUUCCAAAUUCCUGCAGGUACGUUAUUUGCUUCCUGUGUGAACUCAGCCCAAAUGUUCAGGAAAUGCGCAAGGUGUCAUCUCCCAUGCCGCAAUACUAACUUGAAGGACAACACUACUGUGUUUACCUGGAUGCAUGCCACCCAACACCACCAGCACGGUUUACUUUAUGUUAGAACUUAAGAACACCAAAUCUAAUAUUUCAACCUUUGUGAAUCUAUGUAACUAGAUGAUCCAUUUUUGUCUGCACAUACUACAGAAAUGAUAUGAAAUGUCAUUGAAUGUAAUGUAUGAUAAGAAUUCAAAGAAAAUAGAUACAUUUACCAUUAAAUGAUAAUGAUAUGACAAAUUACAACAAGUGUGUAAAUAAAUCUGUUUCCCUCACACAGCUUGAAUAACAGCACUGAAAGGCAAGCUUUCAUUAAUCUGCAUUGCCUUUUUUUUCAGGGCCAGUGUAACGGUCGUCGUAUGUAGUAGACCAAGGCGCAGCGGGUUGAGUGCUCAUUUUA